AACGAACGCUGGCGGCAUGCCUAACACAUGCAAGUCGAACGAGACCUUCGGGUCUAGUGGCGCACGGGUUCGUAACGCGUGGGAAUCUGCCCUUGGGUUUGGAAUAAAAGUUGGGAACGACUGGUAAUACCGGGUGAUGACGUAAAUCCAAAGAUUUAUCGCCCAAGGAUGAGCCCGCGUAGGAUUAGCUAGUUGGUGAGGUAAAGGCUCACCAAGGCGACGAUCCUUAGCUGGUCUGAGAGGAUGAUCAGCCACACUGGGACUGAGACACGGCCCAGACUCCUACGGGAGGCAGCAGUGGGGAAUAUUGGACAAUGGGCGAAAGCCUGAUCCAGCAAUGCCGCGUGAGUGAUGAAGGCCUUAGGGUUGUAAAGCUCUUUUACCCGGGAUGAUAAUGACAGUACCGGGAGAAUAAGCUCCGGCUAACUCCGUG
rnacentral:rRNA from 1 species